AAUACCAAACAACAACAACAACAACAACGACCUUAUCUGUGACAACAUACAGUAACAGCUAGGCAACUUCGGUGCUGGACACGGUUUUCUGUAGAAAUCCUGAAAUAUACAGAGUGUAUUACCAUAUGCUUGCUUCUUUGAGUAUGUGCCUGAAACAAGAAUGUCCUGGAGAAAACCGUCCACAACAAGAAAAGAGAUGGAGAGGAAGGGCUUGCUGUUGAGAGAUCAUGGGGUGCCUUGAGGUUCCACUUCCAGUCUUGAUGUUCUGCCCCUUACCUCUAAGCGAUGGCCUCUUGUGCCUGGCAAUAUAUGAGCGAAGCACAAUGGACUGGUGCUGGUGGAGCUGCAUGUAUCUUUUACUCAUCAAUGGUAGUUUUAAAAUCUUCCUCUGUAUUGUGAAAGCAGAAACAUGAUGUAGAGUGGAAGAGAAAAAAGUAUGUAACACAGUAUCAUUUAAAAUAGAUUUUAUAAAGUAAAAACACACUGGCCUGCAGUUUGUGAAACAUGUAGCACUGUAUUACCAAUUAAAAGAAUUCAGCGAUUUUUACAACGUGCUCUAUUGGCAUUUAUGUACUGGUUAUGUUGUAACACAAAAUGAAUUCUUAACUUUAAUCCUGGAUCCAUUGCUAAACAUAAUGUCAACCCUAAAUGUAUUAAACAUUGCCAGACCCAAUUUCGGGCUACCCUAAAUCCCUUUCUACAUACCAGUAUUGUUCAAAGUUUAUAUUUAUUACACCCUUACUGCGAGUUCUAGAAAUUCUGCAAGAACCCUACCCUGCUGUUCACUUUAUAAUUAGUACUUCACAUUGCUUUCAUGAACAUGCCGUAAAAGUGAAUUUAUUUUAUGUCUCUAUACAAACAGGUGCCUGUACAUGUAAUGUAUUUCAUGCAAAUGAAGGGUAGAAUGAGAAGCUCACAAUGAUAUGGUAGACAAGGACCUUGCUGUCUAAAGCUCGGAGGCCAGAUGACAGUGUCUGAAGUAAGUCGCCCCAUAGAAGAGCGAGAACUUUCUGUUGCAAUUGUUAACAUGCAACACAUCCUUACCACAUGCAACCCAUCCCACUUUCACAAUAUAUUUUCUUAACAACAGUAACCCAAGUUCAACGUUUGGAUUGGUGAUUUUAAACAUAAAAACAAUGGUCUGAAUGUUUAAUUAGAUCUUUUACGCAAACGUAGUAUAUUAGUAAUGAAAAGCAUGUUUGGUAAUACAGUAAUUUCAUUUCAGACCAUGAAGACCAUGUAUUAUUAUAAUUAUCUGGGAUCUGUCGUUGGGCUGAUAAGCAUGGAAAAUAAGGAAUGUACUCCUGUCGAACGAACAAUAUGUUUUUAUAAAACGAAUAACUCUUUGAAGAUUACUUACUAGAAGAAGUAGAACAAGAAGAAAAAGAAGAAGAAAUACACUGAUGAUGUCAGCUUGACUUCCUAAAGUUGUAUACUAUUUGA